rnacentral:lncRNA from 1 species
UUUUAAUGGGCUAAGAAAGCAAAACUGAAGGAAGAGGUAUACUUAUUUAAAGAAUUAAGAUGAAAAAAAGUACGCAGCUGGGAAGUUCACAGGUUUUGAAACUGACCUUUUUCUGCGAAGUUCACUUUAAUACAAGAAAUUUGAUAAGAGAGGCGGGCCUCCUUUUACGUUGAAUCAGAUGCUUUGAGUUAAAAACCACCACGUAUGGAAGAGCAAGAAGAGGGAAGACAGUAUAAAAACAAGGAGAUAAAAAAGUGAUAUUAAUACAAAAAUGAUAACCACAAUGAUUUCUCUGAGAAAUUGUUAUGGCAGAACUGUCCAGACUGCUGACAGUAAAGUCCCGGUUUGCAUGUUACUUGUAUUCCAUUGACGGUGUCUCCCCACCUCUCCCGCUUUACUCACUAGCACUUAACUGCAUUUUCAUUUUCGGUAUGAAAAACAAUACCCAAAGCAUCUGAAAAUUGAUAUAUAUUUCUAGCUAUAUAUUUUUAGUCCCAUCUUUAAUCUUGGGGGGACAAAGAAAAAAGUUUGAAGGGCAAAAAAGUUACACUCUGAUUGUCCCAAGACGACAGAGGCAAGUAGAAAAUGUGGGGAAAAGAAAAGAGAAAUAUUAAAGUACAGCGCCUCACGUGGUGCCUGAUACACAGUGGGCGGUCAGUGUUAGUCCCCCUCUCCCCUUAUUCUUGUAUUCCCUCUUGCAGAUUUCCUUAAGUCCUAUUUGAGGACCGUGCUUUAUUUCCCCCUCUCAGUCCCAUCACACUCACUUUAAACAACACCCAGCUAGAUACCGGCA